rnacentral:lncRNA from 1 species
AUAAAGUGUAUGCGUUUCCAACAAGAAUCUGUUCCAAAAACUAACUGCCGAGUAGCCAUCGUUAUAUAGCUAUUUGUUUUUGACAAUUCAAAUUGAAAUUCAACUGUGACACAACCAAGAUGGCUGCAGUCACUUUCGUCCUGGUAACAACAGCCGACGUGUACGAGGGGACGCCCAGAGCUACUAGUAGCUAGCUAAUAGGCUAUUAUAACAUAGAUAGAUGCGACCUAUAGUUCACUGCACGUGUAAAUGUGAGACAUCUGGUUGGCGUUUCCGCUCACUGUGUUAGUGAGAGGAAGCCUAGUGUCUGCCAGUGUGAGAAGAUUGAGCUAGAUGGAUUUUGGCGGACAUUCUGCAAAUUUUCUCAUAAAUGAAACAUUUGAUCUCCAUACAGUUUUCUGUUUCCAAAACUAGAAUAUAUAACAGAGUGCACUACGUUUGGUAGACUUGAUUUACCUCAGUUUAUUGAGAUUACUUUAUUUAGGACGAGUGCACGAGAUAGCGGGCAUUUUCCUAAUGAACGUCAUGCAUAUUCAUUGAGGCACAUAAUGAAGGCCAAGAGUUUCAAAUCAUCUUGAUUUGAACGCUUGUUAUGGGCAUUUUUACACGCGGUCAUUACACCUGUUCAGUGUGCAUUUACAGGUGAUUAGAACGUUACGAAUAUUGUACUUUCAGACGCGUGAAAUUGUGCCACUGCACACGUUCUGAACGCCUGUGAAGUAACGGGUACAUUUCAUGCGUCUGAAAGUACCACAUUGUAGCCCCUACCACCUCAAUUUCCGAAUCUACAAAUGCUAUGUUGAACGUGCUCCACGGACGAAGGAGGGGGAGGAAAUCGGACAGCUUCUUUCUACCACACCUUCACCAAGUCAUACAAUGUUUGCUUCAUGAAUAAUUGUUAGAUCAGAAAUAAAUACAGAAUUGUUUGUUUAUUCUGUUUGUUUUUUAUGCUGGAUGUGAGUAAUUUAGCAGGUAUUGUUUUGAAACUUUAUUAAAUAUCUAUCUAUUCAGUCAAAACUCAAUUUAUUUUAUUUGCUAAAAUAAUGUUUGUUUUGUACCGUUUCUUUUUACAUACUGAAACAGUCUCAUUAGUUUUGAGCUAGACUAUGAUCGGGGAAAUGUCUACUACGCUUUUUAAAAUGUUGAAUGAAAUCAGCACUGUUUUUUAAUAGUUUAUUGCUACUGUCUAAUGAGGAAGUGGGCAAUAUGGAAUACAUUGGAGGAGGAAGGGAGAAUAAGUAGGUAAAUGUACAGCCUAUCAAUGACAAAAGAAACAGUGCAGAGGUAUCCUUAAGAUAACAUUAGAUAUUUGGAUGGCUAGCCAGCUAUUCUCAAAACAUUGGAUUAAACUUGAGCAGUGACAUCUGUUUGCAGCACAUUUUCACAUGGACGUAUAUACACAGAACAAAAAUAUAAAUGCAUUAUGUUAAGUGUUGGUCUCUUUAUGAUCUGAAAUAAAAUGUCAGCCAUUUUCCAUUUGCACAAAAAGCUUAUUUCUCUCAAAUGUUGUACCCUGGUCCUUCCUCCACUGCCAAUUUAACAGUUUAUAAAUUCAUUUGUAGAAAACAUUUUAAUCCAGCCUUUGUGGUUUGGAAAGUAUAGUGACUUAUGGCUUUGAUUUAUGUAUCAAACAAAUGGGGUUUUGGAAAAGUAGGUACUUUUUCACUUGGACUUUGAGCUUGAUACUUCAGACAAGGAAAAACUAUGGAUAGCUAAUUAAAAUAAGAAAAUAGCUUUAUGAAUUAUGAAGCCUUUGUGACGUUAGCUACCAAAUAAAUUGUUUUCGGCAAUUAUCCAAAAAGUCAAUUUCUUACCCAAUACGCAGUGUUGCAAACUUAGCGACUUUGUCGCUUUAUUUAGCGAGUAUUCAGACUCUUCUAGCGACAUAUUUUCGAAAAAGCGACUAGCGACAAAUCUAGCGACUUUUUCUG